AUUGAACGCUGGCGGCAUGCCUUACACAUGCAAGUCGAACGGUAACAGGUCUUCGGAUGCUGACGAGUGGCGAACGGGUGAGUAAUACAUCGGAACGUGCCCGAGAGUGGGGGAUAACGAAGCGAAAGCUUUGCUAAUACCGCAUACGAUCUCAGGAUGAAAGCAGGGGACCGCAAGGCCUUGCGCUCACGGAGCCGCCGAUGGCAGAUUAGGUAGUUAGUGGGAUAAAAGCUUACCAAGCCGACGAUCUGUUGCUGGUCUGAGAGGACGACCAGCCACACUGGGACUGAGACACGGCCCAGACUCCUACGGGAGGCAGCAGUGGGGAAUUUUGGACAAUGGGCGAAAGCCUGAUCCAGCCAUGCCGCGUGCAGGAUGAAGGCCUUCGGGUUGUAAACUGCUUUUGUACGGAACGAAAAGACUCUGGUUAAUACCUGGGGUCCAUGACGAUACCGUAAGAAUAAGCACCGGCUAACUACGUGCCAGCCGCCGCGGUAACAC
rnacentral:rRNA from 1 species